GGUUCUAUAGUGUAGUGGUUAUCACUCUCGGUUUUGAUCCGAGCAACCCCGGUUCGAAUCCGGGUAGGACCU
rfam:Lachancea dasiensis CBS 10888 genome assembly, chromosome: B